UGUAUCUAUAAACAUCUAAUAUAAACCCAAAUUUAAAAUGUGUAGCUCAAUUGAAAAACAAUUGACCUAGUAAUACAAUAGUAUUACACUUCUACCACUCAUCCUCAACAUGCGUUUCAGAAUGCAACCCCCAGGCGUUUCAGAAUAUCAUCCCAUGACCGUUUCAAAUCCAGCCGUUUUGCAGAAAACCAUCCAUAACAACAUCAUUGAUUUCAAUAAUUACUACGUUUAUUGGGAGAGAUUGACAAUCAGAAAAUCGAACCGUUUUUGAGAUUUGAAUCGCACCAUUCAACUUAAAUGGAGAUACUUUCAAACAACAUGGUGUGUAGUGGGUCUUCAAUGAAUCCGAUCAUAAUCUGUGCAUUUAAACAGGUACAUUAUAUACCGUUGGAUAAUGAUAAAAAUUUGGAGGAAGUAAUCUAUUCCAAAUCGUUCAUUCAUAUUCGACCAGAAUUUCACUUAUUUGGGAAUGGAAAUAAACAGGAAACAGUUUGGAAAAAUGCAAUACCGAGCUGCAUUUGGUCCAUUUUUGAAUGUUUUGAAUGUUUUGAAUGUUUUGAAAUUGAAAAUUCAGGAAGAACAUCGAGACAUUAUAAAAGGAACAUCAUUUUGGGGUCUUUUCAAAGCUUAUGAUGGAGGGUUGGUUAGCGAUGAUAUGUGUAGGAAGACUUAUGUAGAUAUAAUUAGAAUAAUUAAUUGUUUCAUUGUCGAGACAUCUGAAUUCAAAUUUGGUGAUAGGUGUGAAAAGUUAACAGGGUUUGAAGUUGAGGAGUUGCUUGGAUUACCUAACUUUGGUCGGGAUAUAAAUCUUAAUGAACGUUGUUCAAAGUCUGAGGAAGGUUUCAUUAAAAGAAAUUUUAAAACAGUUGACAGAGUUACUAGGCAAAAUAUUGAAUCUGCUAUGAUUACAAUAGUAACAGGGAAAACACAACAGAAUCGUGAGGAUUUUGUAUGCCUAAUGUGUUUGCAUCUUUGUAUUACAUUAUUAUUUUGUAAUAGUGGUAGUACCAUCUCUUGGAACAUAACUUCCUGUUGUCAAGAUGUUCGAACAAUGGCGGGCUACAAUUGGGCAAAAGCAACAUCGGAUUGUUUACAAAAACAACUGGUCAAGAAUUUUGGAAAACCAUCACAUGUAUCUGGAUGUGUUGUGCUGUUACCGGUAUGUAUUGUACACUAAUCGGGUGUGUUAAUUUAUAAUUCAUUCUUUAUGCUUUGUAAUUCGAUGACCAGUUUAUGUUUGUGUGUCAAUAGUUUUGGUUUUGUGAGAUAAGUUCAUUGGUUGAACCUGUAAAAGGAAGAAUGGAUUUGGCACCCAAAUUUGUGAAGUGGGAUCUGCAGGUACUGCAUGAGGCCAUGUCAGCUAUUGAAUUUGAUAGGCUACAGCGUGCAUCAGAGUACACAUGAAUAGAAGUUUGAGGUGUGAACUUCACAUUAUGGUGUCCCCACACAGAGACAAUGAUCAAGACUUUCAGAGGAUGUAAAUGAUGUGCAUAAGACCCCCGCCAUUUGAAUUUUGAAGAGCAAGUUUCGUAGCUAUGAAUCUCAACAACCAAUUGCGGCCCAUAAGUCUUUAGCGAAAAACGUGACCUCGUCAGUUACAGUUGCUAGUGUUACAUCUGAAAAGAAAAAUUUUGAUGUUGCGAAUCAUCGUUUGACAACCAGUGUGAGUGGUGGUUCUAAUUUUGAUGAGAUUCGAACGAAAGAGGUGGUGAGUACUACUUCCAAAAAAGAGUUCAACCCGUCCAAAAUGUUUCAACUCAUCAGUUCACAAGACAAUCUUUUCCACAAAGGUCUUAGCGAGUGCGAACUCGUUGAGGCACAUCAUGUACCGAAAAAUUCUGAACUUAGUGUGGAACGACGACUGGAAAAGCUACGUUCAGAGAAUAAGUCAUUGAAGGAAGAGAUAAAAAAGUUGAAAAUUGAAGUUGAGGUAGCACAAGUGCAUUCUGUUGUGUACCAUGAAAUGUGCUGCGAUACUGAAGCUCUUGUUGCAGAUGCAUACAAUCAGUAUGAUGAUCUGUUGUCGGACCUUACGCAUCUAUUAGAAUGCAUAGAAAAGGAAAUGGGUGAAAACAAACAUGCCUCAUCCCCUGAGAUCGCUACAUGGAUUGUAAGGUUGAAAAGGAAACAAAGGAAACCGAAACGCUUGACUGGGUUUGUUUAUGAUGAGAUGAAAUCUUGGAGGGAACCCAAAAAGGCGAAGCUUAAUGAGAUAGUACCUAGUGUUGUGAAUCCCGCCGAAAAUGAUGAGAUUGUAGACGGCUCAGAUAGGAUCAGAAGCUAUUGGUCGUCACACAGUCAAAGGGAAACAAAGAAUUGGUAUAACACUCGACCCUUCAUGCAUGUCAGUGUGGAUGUACUUGUCAAAUGAAGAACAAGAUAGGAUGCAUCAAUAUUUUCUUUGUGCUGAUUCUGGGUGAGUUUAAACGUCAUUAUAAAUGUCUUAUAUAUGAUAAUAAUAUUUUUUUACAAGGAUGGGGUAGUGAAGAAAAAAAAUAUACUACGAAAACAGGGUUCCCUUCUGGAAAGGAUCAUACUCGGCUGUAUAUAAGGAUGAUUUGAGGGACCUGUUAACGGGGUCUGCUAUAACGUGUAAUGUCAUUGAUACUUUCGAGGAA